UUGCGCGUCAUUUCAAACCCGCAAACCAAAAAACGGAGGGAAGACCAAAACCGGUCAGGCGGCAAAAACUCUCCAAAACUCCCCUCUCUCUCUCUCUCUCUCACACACACACACACACACACACUCCAGAAAACCUACCACACAAGCUUUCUGAAUUGGCCAGUUCGCUCAGUAUCUCUUCGUUGAUGCGUAAGAUUUCUGCAGCCCAACGAAGAGAUUUCCUAUGAUCAAUUUCCGAGGCUGGAGAAGUACAGCUUUCCAAACCUCUGCUGAGUAAGAACACUCAAAGAACAACUGGUGAUCAACACCGCCCAACAACAAAAAAGGAAGGAAGAAAGGGCAAAUGUUGGUAUCUAACUAGUAACGCCUGCAUCUGGAGCUCGCAAGCAAAAUUUCAGGCAAUACCUGGAAGGCUGGAAAUGAUAUUUUUUUACGUGACUUUUUAUGGAGGGGGUAAUGGCUCCACUGGAAUUUUAUCCCACUGGAUCGGUUUAUUUGCUUACAGAGGUUAGUUUUCGUUCAUGUCAAAAGAACAAUCAUCGAACUUGUCCACUUUCAGUUUUUUUGCUGAUGAGUGAUAGAGGAGUUGAAUACAGUCAGAUGGUGUGUUUUACAGGAAUCUCAAUUUAUUUAGAGUUACAUAAUUGCUUGAGCAGUUCAAACAUUCAUCUUAGGCUCAUGUUCUGUCUGUUAUGUACUUCUGAUCUCACUCUCUGCGGUGUAUAUGCAGAAAAGAUCAGACAAAACUAACAAUGGAUUUUACCUAAUGCGAAAAAGUGAGAAAGCAACCAGAUGGUUUGUUUUGGUGUUACUUUCCUGAUUAUUGAAGAAUGGCUCAACCUUGAGCAUGGAAUAAAUAACUACAAUUAUGCUAAUAUAUAUAAACUACAUGCCAUUCAUCCUGCAACAAAACAACUAACUCUCUCAUCAACAAAGUCACUCUUGUUUAGCCUCAUGCCACUAAAUGUUAGUCUGGUGCUGCCAUUUCUGCAUUGUUCUUUUGGCAUUUUCAAUCUGGUGUUGCAUUAUUCUUGCCCGUCAUAAGUCUUACCUUUUGUCUUUGCUAAUUUGCUAGCUGGAAAGUGGAGUCUCGCCAUGAGAGGACGGGGUGCCCUCGUCUUUUGGUCGAAUCCCCUUACACAGACAAAACCU